rnacentral:rRNA from 1 species
GGCCUAAAGGGUAGUUUUAGAUUUAAUAAAAUAGAAUUUAAAAUUUAUUUAAUAGUUAUAUAUAAUUAUAAAAUGUAAACCCAAAAACGAAAGUUAUACUAUAUAAUCUUGAACCUACUAUAGCUGAGAAACAAACUGGGAUUAGAUACCCCACUAUGCUCAACUUUAAAACGGACAUUCCCGCCAGAGCACUACGAGCUACAGCUUAAAACUCAAAGGACUUGGCGGUGCUCUACACCCACCUAGAGGAGCCUGUUCUAUAAUCGACACCCCCCGAUAAACCUCACCAUCUCUUGCCAAUACAGCCUAUAUACCACCGCCCCAGUUUACCUUUUAAAAGAACAAUAGUAAACAAAAUAAUUUUAAAUAAAAAAGUCAGGUCAAGGUGUAGCAAAUGAGAUGGAAAGAAAUGGGCUACAUUUUUAAAAUAAUAAAAAUACGGAAUAUUAUAUGAAAUAAGAUAUAAAGGAGGAUUUAGAAGUAAAAAGAAAAAAGAGUGUUCUUUUUAAAUUGGCAAUAGAGCACGCACACACCGCCCGUCACCCUUUUCAAAAAUAAAAUAAUUUAAAUAAAAAUAUAAACUUAUAAGAAAAGGCAAGUCGUAACAUGGUAAGUCUACCGGAAGGUGGCCUUGGACAU